ACGGGACUCAUUUAAAUGAGCAUAGGCAGUCCCCGCGUUCCCUUCUGCACCGUCUUACCGAGCGGCCCCAAAAUUGGGCGUACUCUGUAUGGUCGCGCUGCAGAACGAUUGAAGCGCGCUCCAUAUUCCUCAUCUCUCUCAACUGCUCGAUUGAAGACUCGCCAAACUGCUCCAGAAAAUGGAAGGUGGUGACGAAAAUUCUGAACAUAGGGAGGUAGAGGGUGUAUGGACCAGUUUUGUAUGGGAUAUGUUAUGUCAUUGUAAUUGCAAUCAGUGAAAGAAACAAUGUAGUAUAUGGGACUAUUAUUUUGGUUUUGGUGACUUACUAAUCUAAAUGAAAGUGUAAGUGAACAGUUUCUAAGAUGUUCAAAUCCAUUUGUUUCUUAGAAAGUAAAGUUAUUUUGGUUGUGUAUGAACAAUUGUUUCAAAUCCAUUUGAUUCUUAGAAAAAGGUUAUAAGAUGUUUUUGAGUCCAUAAAAUUUAGUUCCAGACAUCAUCAAACAUGAGAUAUUACUGUUAGAAUUAUUUUGCUCUUUAGUCCCAAGCUGCACCAAACAUGGGUCAGCUAUUAGCAUAGCAUAAGCCAAGUAUCAGUAGUCCUGGAUUGUUUAAGGAAUUAGUCCGGGCUAAGACAGUUAUGCGUACCAAACGUGCAGUCAUUGUCUAUUUCAAUGACAAUCUUUUUCAUGA